rnacentral:lncRNA from 1 species
CUGGUACCUGCUGUGAGCAUUGAACAAUAUAAUGACAAUAGACAUGCGCGGAAAAUUACUGAUAAGGCUAUAAGGUUUGGAUAGUGAAAAUACAACUGGAUUCACAAGUUUGAAAACAGCUGUCAAGACUGAUAAAGCUGAUAAAACUAACUGACUAUCUGAAUGUCUGAAAAGCCUCUAACGGACUGACUUUGGAGUUAAUGGGACAAACCCCCAACUAACUCCAACUGACUGUAAUAAGGAAUACUGAAAUAAUUUAAUGAAAUAUAAACUUGUCCUCGAAGGAUGAGGACUCACCACUACUGCUGCUGCUGCUGUAACAUUGAACUAUCUAAGCGUGGUCAGGCAAUUGUGCAUCCAAACCUAUGAUGUAAGAAAUUAUAGCAUGAAGAAAAGUAUGCGAUUAGUACUUUGAAUGAACUGGUAUAUUAGAUGAGGUUAGGCUGAAAUACAUGGGUUAAUUAUGCAUGAAUAUAAUGACUGACUGAAUAGCAUGAGAUAACUAAGUAUGCAUGCAUGGAAACUAAAAUACUGAGAAUGCAAGACCAGGCAUAUAAUAAUUCAAAAAUAAUGUGUAAAAUGAAUUAUUAAAAUCUAAUAACUGAAUAACUGGAAGUCUGUAUGCUAUGGUCAAGCAAACCUGAAUUGAAUUCUAUACUGAACACUGAACUAAUACUGUAGGAGGUAUCAUCUAACCGACAUGCCCCAAUCUGAGUUAAUUGGGGUCCAACCUGUAACCCCAGUUGGAAGGGUGUCAGUACCAUGCCACGAGUACUAACAAUGGCUGUGUGGAUCCACUAAACUGAUGUCUCGAAGGAUUAGGGUGUCAGGCCUAACUGAUGGUUGACCCCUUAGAGAAAGUUAAGCCUAAACUGAUGGGUGAAUCCUCAUAUCCUACGCUGGCUACGUAGUUUUGGAAUAAAGAGAUUGCUACUAACGACUCUACCUAACUGAUGGGGAAGUCACCAUCCCUACAUUUACUCGGUGCUAAAUCCUACUCCCAACUGAACUGACAUUAAUUACUGGACUGAACUAAGUUUAACUAAACAAACAACUGUUUAUAAUAACUGACUGAAUGACAAUGCUCGUGGUUUAUCUGAAAUUAUUUAGAAAAUUUUAAAAUUAUGUAAAUAAUUUGGUAUCGGGUGUUCACAACCCACCAACACUGAAUGUAAUUAACAAUGAUGACUUAUAAAGCUUUAAAAACCCAUAGUAGGGGAUCAUUGCUCAAAACCCAACAUUUAGUCAUUUCAUCAAACACAUAAGAGUCAUAAAUUUAUGAAAUGCACUGAGAGUUCACCCUGGGAAUCACACGGUUCUUACGACCCCGAAGGACUACAAACUAACCCAUGACUGGUACUUGCUGUGAAUACUGAAUAAUAAUUAUGAAACAUAUACGGAAGUAAAACUGAAAAUGCCAUAAGGUUCAUAAAACUAAAAUCAAUACUAAGUACAUUGGUAGAAUAACUGCUAACUGAAAGUGUGUGAAAUUCUCUAAACAUCUGGAAUAAAAGAGUUGAUAGGACAGGCCUCAACUAACUCACAACUGCUGUAUGAAAAUAACAGAAAUACUGAAAGUAAUGCAUUAACUAAAUAAUAUCAUGUCCUCGAUAGAUGUGGACUCACCACUGUAGCUGUAGAUGAUAGACUGAUCUGGCUAAAUACGGUUAGGAACCCAAGCGUCCGAACCUAUGAUAUGAGACAUCAUACCGCAAAAAAGAGUACGAGUCAGUACUUUGAAUGUACUGGUAUGCUAGGUAAGGUUAGGCUAAUAUGCAUGGGUUCAUGUGAAUGAGUAAUAAUAACUAAAUAUCAUGAAGUAACUAGAUGAGAGUAUAUGCAAGACUGGGACUACUGAAAGUACUGAACAUACAAUACCAAACAUAUAUCAUUUGUCUGAAUUAGUCUGAAAUUGAAGCACUGAAUUUCUGAUAACUGUAAGUCAUGAUCUUGUAGAACUGAACUGAGUUCUGAAUGCUGAAUACUAAUUAUUGAAACUGAGACUGUGGGAGGUAUCAUCUAGCUGACAUGCCCCAAUUUGAGAUAAUUAGGGUCCAACCUAUAACCCUAGUUGGAAGGGUGCUAGUAUCGUGCCACGGGUACUAACACUGGUUGUGAGUCACCCUAACUGGAAGAAAGAUAAUUUGUUAACCCUUUUUGGUAGGAAAACUCAUACGAGACAUGUCAACCGUUAUCUGGCGAGAAGAUAUCUCAACCUACACUAGCUACGUAGUUUUGUAACUCAGGGAUUGCUAUGAAGGGUCACACCAUAACCUGGCGGGAAUACCCCCAUCCCUUUGGGUUUGCUCUGUGCUGAAUCCUACUCCCAAUUGAAAGACACUGAUUACUGAGAUAAACUGAGCUUAAUUGAGCCAACAACUGACUAUGAUACUGAUCACUUGAUUGGGCUAGGCUGAACUGAACUCGUACUGACCAUGUUAAUUGACCCAGUAUUACUGCUACUGAUACGACUGGGACCUUUCAAAAACUACUGAAAACUAAGUAAACAGCUAAAUUUUAGGUAUCACAACCCCCAGGACUGAUAUAAUUGACAAUAGAACCAUACCACAACUUUAAAUGCUUAACAAUAGAACAUAAUGCAAAAUUCAUUCACUUAGACAUUUUGUCAAACACUUGGGAGGCAUAAUCUUGUACGUGGGAAUGAAUAACAUGUUAAUGUAUCGUAACUUCAACAAUCAAUUCAUAAUUCAAGGGUUUGGCAUGAGAUCUACAUCACCCAACAUACCCUUUUGUUUACUUUACAUGUAACUUCUAUUUUCUUAACUUGAAACUCAGACAACAACACAUAUAUGGACAAAGUUCAAUAUAAAUCAUGUGAAACUCAUAACUUGAAUUUAAAAGAGGUUCUUGGACUCCAAGGGAGAAAGGGACCCAAGGAUGAACAUCUAACAUACCUUAGUUGUUGAAUUCAUGAGAAUUGUUGGUGAUUUCUUUGAACUUGAUCUUAGACUUGAUGAUCUAGGGUUUGCUCUUGAGAGAAUUGUAUGAAAUGAUGAGUGAAUUUUCCUUGCGGAAGGCUUAAUUUUGUGUUAUGGUGGGUUAAGAUGGGUGGAAAUAACUCCUUUGCCCCCAUAAACCCGUAAUUUAAUAACCAAAAAUGUGCCUAGUGAUGCAACAAACGACGUGCCACUUCGAUCAACCCGAUGCGAUGACCACCGUAUUACGUCAAUGAUGACGAUGCGAUAGCCAAUGCGAUGCAUCCUGAUCACGUUGGCUCACUAUUUUGGUCAUCCAAACAUGUCUGAAACGAUGCCCAAAUUUUUGAAACUUACCCGAGAUGACCUAUAGAUAACCCUGAUCAUGAAUCAAUUUAAAAAUCGACAAUUUAAGGUCGGAAAGAUCGAAAUAAAAUUCAUCUAAGUUGAGAGGCCAAAACAAGACUAAGUCUUAACACUUAGCUAAAUUUUCUAAGUCUUGAACCCCUUUAGUAUGCAACAUUAGACUAAAAUGAGCUAAGAUUCUUGCGGGGUCUUACAAUAUAAGCAUGGUAAAGGGGUAAGGCAUGCAAGAAUAACAUGAUCACAAUACUAAAACCAUGAAUUAGGGAUUCGAUAUGAAGAUUUCAAUAUUCAAAACAUGUAAUGGCUCAUCCCAUCAAAAAUACUUGUAAACAUAACUCAAUAUCAAAAUCAUUAAUAACUUCGUGGAGAUAAUUCAACUUAAUCAUGUAAAUACUCAUACUUUAAGCAUAAAAGGGGAUUCUUGGACUCCAUGGGUGAAAGGGCCCAUGGAUGAACAUCACACGUACCUUAAACCCUUAGGCUUGAGAGAGAGAAACACUAAUUUUGAUGCUUUCCUAAAUGUUCUUAGAUUCGAGAUCUUGUAUUCUUGGUUUUCUUGGAGAGAAAGUAAUGGAAUUUGAUGAUCUUGGGGUAUGACUAGGGUUUCUUUGAGAGGAGGAUUAGAAAAGAUGGGAAAAUAAUGCCCUAACAAAAGCUUUAAGUCAUGAAUUUAUAAAUUGGGUUAAGGGGAAAAGACGUAAUUGCCCCUUAAAUAUUUAAAUUCAUACCUGGAAUGUGGAUUAUGUGUUCAUCAUGAUGCAAUGACUGCUCCAUCGCUAUAACCAGCGUGACGUGAUGCUAUCGCAAUGAUCUGCUAUAAUCAUGAUCUAAACAUGACCCAAUCCUUGUUUGAAAAAUCUAAAACUUCUCUGAGAUAUGCUCCCGACACCCUUAAACAUGAAUUAACUCCAAAACCAACAUCUCGGGGUCGAGAAGACCAAUUUAAAAAUCCUCGAAGUUAAGGGGCCUUCAAAAUGACUAAGUUCCCAACACUUAGUGAAAUUUUCAGGCUUUAAGCCUCUUAUGUAUGUAAGUAGGAGCUGAACUGAGUUAAGAAUAAAACGGGGUAUUACAAUAUCUCAUCCUUGGGAAUAUUCAUCCUCGAAUGAGACUGAUUAACCUGAGAGUUCUGAACUAAGCCAAUUGAGAUCAUAUACUGAACAUGCAUGACUGUGAACAUAAUUACAUGACUGAGUCUGAAAUAUGACACAUGACUGAACUAAUUUCGUGAUUGAAUGCAAUGACAUGAGAAUGGUUAUAAGGUCGAGAUAGAAAUAAGAGAGUCAAAUAAUGAGUAAACAUUACCUUAGCCUAGAUCUGGUUUCGUGAACAAAAGUCGAGAGGCUUAAGACAUGAAAACUUAGGGUGUUACAACAUCUCCCCCUUGGGAUUAUUAGUUUCCAAAUGAUACUGACUUGGCUGAAAUACUUAGAAAAGACUAAAAUGAUGUAUGAGACACUUAUGAACUGAAUCAUAACUGAAUAUUUAAAUCUGAAACAUAAUGCAUGAACUGAACUGACUUCACAAUUUUCAUGGAUACGAACAAUUACCUCUUGGAAUGACCAUACUCAUGGAACGUCAGAUAGUAAGACUAGAUCGAAAGAUGGAAAAACCAUAAGAACUUGUCUGUCUGACUGCUAGAAUGGAUAGUCGGUUAUACGAACUGAAUCAUACUGAAAGUUUAUACUUAACUAUAUAUUACACUUCCAAAACUUUACUUUACUUGAGGCUACUUAAAAUUUUCACAUGGGCACUAAUAACUCUAUCUACUGAAGUCUGAGCUGAACUAAAUUCUCUGACUUUGAUCAAGCCUAAAUAGUAAUUACAAGGUACUGCCUCAAGAACCAUUCUUCUUACUACCUCAACAACUAAAUUCAGCCUCUUACUAGGAAUUUACUAGUGCACAAUGCAUCCAUCCACUUCCAUACUAACAUGGAAUUCAAGCCUAUCAUUAUAACCACAUACAAACUUCCAGGCAAACACCCAUAAAAACAUCUUUCUCAUAUUCUCUAAACUUCCAUCAAUAACAACUUCCAUAAACUAUCCCCAAGAAAACACACCUAGAAUUCUCAACUAAUCAAGACAUAUACAAAAAGUUUAACCUCAACCUUUCUUCACCCUUAUAACCUUAUAUAUAUAUAUCAAACAAGCAUGCAACAAUCAUUCCUCAAUAAGAAAUAUUUACUUUCUCUCAAUAUACAAUUGAUCAUCAAUUUUCAUCACCACUAUCUUAACAUUAUGGAGAGGUCACUGGAAGGUUAGAACAAGAGGACCGGGAACAUGAAAGAAUACUAUGCGUAACUUUGACACUUAACCGAGGCCUGAGGUAUAGAGUAUCAAAAGCAUGAAUUCAAAAGAGAUAUAAACUGAGAACAUACAUGACAUAAUCUGAAUUUCACUGAUUACUAUAACAUACCAUGAGUUCUGGGAAUUGAACAUACUGUAAAGCAUGGGUACCUGAGUCAUGAGCUGCAUGACCUGAGUUUAGAGUUCGUAAAUUCAUGAAACAUGAUUCGUACUACUGAGCAAACUAGAACUCCUUAUACUAUAAACUGGAAGCGUACAUGAUUCUAUGGAAAAUGCAUGAAUAUGAGUUAUGAUUGUGGAGCUGAUAUGUAAGGAAUGAGUAGAUAUCGUGACGACUGAAAAACAAAACUUUGCAUUGAGAUAAGGAUGGGUUGGGAAUCAUCCUCCCUUACUAUUUUUCUACAACACACUAGCAUCACUAUGAGAAUCUGAGAGACUGACAUAGUUAAUUGUUCUAUGUUCUCUCCCUUAGAUUCAAGCUAUCAUUCUAAGUCUGUAGACCCCUUUAAUAAACUCUAAACUGAACUGCAAUACUCAACCUGAAAGACUAUACCUGAAAGUUUAAAACCCACUGCUAAUAAUCCCUUCUGAGCUACAACUCUUAACUUUCUAUAGCCCCAAUAGUCAUCACAUAAUAACUUAAACACUAACUAAUUUAGAACCUUCAUGAGUGUCACCAUACAAUGAUUUCACACCACUUAAAAUUUCAAUUCUCUUUACUAUUAGAUCAACCAUCCAAGAUUCAAACUUAGAUUCUAACACUUAACAUGGAUAUUCUCAAACUUUUAAUGAACCAUACUAACUUACACCAUAGCCUACUAAUAUCCCACUUCCAAACCUAUAUUUUUCUUUAAACCAUGCAGAUUUUCAUUAGACCUGAACAUCCAAAAUUAUUAUCCUAUAGCCCAUAAUUUAGCUGGUAAGAACAUCAAUUACUACACUACUAUCCUCAUUUAAUCUUAGCUACUCAAGGGUACUAUAUAAGUGCACCCACACCAUCACACUUAACUUAAUUUUUUGCAUACACUAUUUCAGGCCUACUAAUUCAUCUUUAAUACAACUAGCCUCAUGGAUACAUCAUCUACUAACUACCGAUAAACGCCAUCCCUACCUUACUACUUCUAAACUUCUGGAUUUAUACUUCUAACUGUAGAUCAUAUGCUGUCAUAAGAAUCUGAGAACGAAUAUAAAAGCACAUCCCUUAGAUAUCAUCUUUCUUGCUCUAAGAUAUGAAACGAUCUGACCCCCUAAGCACUAAGAUACUACCCCUCUAUUCAAUAAUGGGUUCAUUAAGAAACAAAAAAUAAACAACUUUAUUUCUACAGUCAACUGAGGCAUGACAUGAGUGGAGCUACUCCAUGCUGAGAAUGAUAUCAAAAGCAGUCUUCUCUAACUCCACAAGAUCUACUGAAGUAAUUUUUUGAGAUACUAUAGCCGGUAAUUUUUGUGUACCAGUCUGGCUGUAAUAGAUUUACCCAUUGGGGUAGACAUUGAGAAAUACUCUGCUAAUAUUUCUGGACUGAUACCAAAAUUGAUAGCUAUAUAGGGAGUCACAAAAGAAAGUGAAUCUCUAAGAUUUAAUAAAACAUAAACAUGGAGAUGAAAGACCUGUAAUGUACCCAUAACCAUAUCAGGAGAACUUUCUUAACCAUGUUGGUACUGGAGUGCAUAUAAUCUAUUCUGGCAUUGACCACUGGUGGCACUAGAAUUAGCGCCCUGCUGAGUCGAGCGACCUGCUGAGUCGAGCAACCUGCUAGAGCUGAUGACAGAUUGGACUGGCCUUAUUGGCACAAAUCCUUUCCUCUCUGAGCAACUACUGGGCACUCUCUAACCUUGUGGCCUGGCUUGCCAUACCUAAAACACACACUACUACCAGCCUUACACACACCUUAAUGAUUCCUACCAUAUUUUUGGCAAAGUGGAUUAGUACAACCAUUGUUCACACUACCUUGGGACUUGGAGCAUAGCGCCUUAUCCCGACUGUUAUUUUUGAAUUUUGGCACUAGUGCACUAGCUGAAGACAGAGCUGGGGCUGAGAAUUUUUGGUGGAACUAGGAAUGGUUACCACUCUCUAACCUUAACUUAAAAUUACUUAUUUUGUCUCUCUUAAUCUCUCUCUCUUUAUCCCUACAUUUAUCUUCCUCACUCUAUUGAUCAUGAAAUAUAAGCCUAGAUAGGACAAUAACCUAUUGAUCAUUCUAAGCAACUACUGAAUAAUAUAAGGUAGUAAAAGUAGCUCUGAAUUUAGCGUGAGAGACAUGCUCAUUCAUGGGAUCUUCCUGAAUAGGCGAAUGUAUGGACUACUUCCUAUUCCUUCUUUCUUUAUUUAUUUUGGGUGGUAUUAUCUAUAAAAACUGAAGGAUGAGUCAGGAAGAGAGUUUAAAAAGUGCUCAUGCUCUUUAGCAUGACAUGAAUACUAAAAGAUGGGAAAAUUUUCCUAAAAUAUCUUGUAGCCCCUUAUCCAUAAGUGCGGCGCGCUUUACACCCAUGUAUAAGACCCUACUCAACACGGAUAUUAGACUCCCUAGGACACUUAAAACCAUAGGUUCUAAUACCAAGUUUUGUCACAAAUUGAGGCUACCCCCUAGUCGUGACAAUGGUGAUAAUGGUCAUAAGUGACCACAAGUAAACCCAUGAGCUGGUACAUACCAUGAGCACUAAAUAAUAUAAAGAACAUAGACAUGUGCAAAAAAUAAUUGAUAAGGCCAUAAGGUUUAGAUACUGAAAAUACAAUUGAAUUCACAAGUUUGAAAGCAUCUGUCAAGACUGAUAAAGAUGAUAAAACUACCUGACUGUUAGAAUGUCUGAAAAACCUCUAACUGACUGACUGUAGAGUUGAUGGGACAAACCCCCAACUAACUCCAACUGACUAGAAUAAGAAAUACUAAAAUAAUUGAAUGAAAGAUAAACUUGUCCUCGAAGGAUGAGGACUCACCACUGCUGCUGCUGUAAUGCUUAAAUAUCUAAGUUAAUUUAGGAAAUUAUGCAUCUAAACCUAUGAUAUAAGACAUCAUAGCGUAAAGAAAAGUAUGUGAUUAGUACUUUGAAUGUACUGUUAUAUGAAAUGAGGUUAUGCUGAAAUGCAUGGGUUAAUUGUGAAUGAAUAUAAUUACUGACUGAAUAAUAUGAGAUAACUGAGCAUGUAUGCAUAGGAACUGAAAUACUGAGAAUGCAAGACCAAGUAUAUAAUAUUUCUGAAAUAAUCUAUAAACUAAAUUGCUAAAAUCUGAUAAGUGGAAGUCUGUAUGCUAUGGUAAAGCAAACCUAAACUGAAUUUUCUACUUAAUACUAAACUGAGACUGUGGGAGGUAUUAUCUAACCGACAUGCCUCAAUUUGAGCUAAUUGGGGUCAACCUGUAACCCCAGUUGGAAGAGUUUUAAUACCAUGCCACAAGUACUAAUAAUGGCAGUGUAGAUACACUAAACUGACGUCCCAAAAGACCAAGGUGUCAAGCCUAACUAACGGGUGACCCCUGAGAUGAAGUCAAGCCUAAACUGAAGGGUGAAUCCUCAUGUCCUAUGCUGGUCACGUUGUUCUGGAAUACAGGGACUGCUACUAAUAACUCGGCCUAACUGAUGGGAAAGCCGCCAUCCCUACAUUCUCUUAGUGCUAAAUCCUACUCCUAACUAAAAUAACACUAAUUACUGGACUAAACGAAGCUUAACUGAAUAAACAACUAUUUAUAAUAAUUGACUGAAUGACAAUGCUCUUUGUUUAUCUAAAAUCAUUUUGCAGAUACUGAAAUUAUAUAAAUAAUUAGGUAUCGGGUGCUCAUAACUCACCAACACUGAAUGGAAAUAAUAAUGAUGACUUAUAAAGCUUUAAAAAACCAUAUUAGGGGAUCAUUUCUUAAAACCCAACAUUUAGUCAUUUCAUCAAACACAUAAGUGUCAUGAAUUUAAGCAUGGUAAAGGGGUAAGACAUGCAAGAAUAACAUGAUCACAAUACUAAAACCAUGAAUUAGGGAUUUCAAUAUAAAGAUUUCAAUAUUCAAAACAUGUAAUGGCUCAUCCCAUAAAAAAUACUUGUAAACAUAACUAAAAAUCAAAAUCAAUAAUAGCUUCACGGAGAUAAUUCAACUUAAUCAUGUAAAAACUCAUACUUUAAACAUAAAAGGGGAUUCUUUCACUCCAUGAGUGAAAGGGACCAUGAAUAAACAUCAUACAUACCUUAAACCCUUAGGCUGGAGAGAGAGAAACACCAAUCUUGAUUCUUUCCUGAAUGUUCUUAGAUUGGGUAACUUGAAUUCUUGGUUUUCUUGGAGAGAAAGUAAUGAAAUUUGAUGAUCUUGGGGCAUUACUAGGGUUUCUUUAAGAGGAUGAUUGGAGAAGUGGGCAAAUAAUGACCUAACUGAAGCUUUAAGUAGUGAAUUUAUGAAUUGGGUUGAGGGGAAUAGACAUAAUUUCCCCUCAGAUAUUUAAAUUCAUAACUAAAAUGCAGAUUAUAUGGUCACCGCAAUAUGAUGAGGGCUUCAUUGCUAUAACUACCAUGAUGCGACACUAUCGCGAUGAGUUGUUGGAAUCGUGAUUCAAACAUGACCAAAUCCUCAUCCAAAAAAUCUUAAAAUUCUCCAAGACAUGCUCCUUACACCCCUAAAUAUGAAUUAACUCAAAACCAACAUCUCGGGGUUGGAAAGACAAUUUAAAAAUCCUCAAAGUUAAGGAGCCUUAAAGAUAACUAAGUCUCUAAUACUUAGUGAAUUUUUUAGUCUUUAAGCCUCUUAUGCAUGCAAUGUGGAGCUGAAUUGAGUUAAGAAUAAUAUGGGGUAUUACAAAAGUGGGCAUAGUGUUUAUCUAGAUUUAGUAGAUUAUGUACCUAUGGGGCUAGUUUUAUGAAAGGUGAAUCAGCAGGCUUGAAAUAGUGCAUGCAAGAAUUUAAGUUUGUUGAUUCGAAAUUAAGUUGGAUGGUGUGGGUGUAAUUUAGAGGUGUGCCUAAGGUGAUAUGGGAUUGUAGUAUUUCUAAGUUUUUAAGUAUGUGUGAUUAGAUAGUACCCUUGAGUAAGUGUGAAUGAGGCUAGUAAUAUGGUAUAUGAUGUUCUUACUAGCUAAGUUAUGGGCUAUAGAAAGUUAAGAGUUGUAUAUCAGAAGAAAGUACCAGCAGAGGGUUAUACACUUUUAGGUGUAGUCUUUUAGGGUGAAUUUAUUAUCUAUGUGUAUUGUUAUAUCCCAGACUCUAGAGUAAAGUGGUUAUAGUUCAGCUUAGAAAUUAUUAAAGGGGUUUGCAGACUUCAAAUCAUAGCUUUAAGCUAAGGGAGAGAUGAUAGGCCAAGUAACUAAGUCAGACUAUCAGAUUCUAGUAAUGAUGCUAGUGUAUUGUAGAACAUCAGUAGGGGAGGAAGAUUCCUGAUCCAUUCUUAUCUCAAGCAAUUUUUUGUACUGUAGUUAUCACGAGAUAUUCUCAUGACUUACAAGUCAUCCCUAUGAUCAUAGAUUAUAUUCUUGCACAUUCCAUAGAAUCAUGUACACUUCUAGUUCCUUGUAUGAGGAGUUCUAGUUCACUCAUCAGUACGAAUCAUACUCCAUGAAUUUAUGAACUCUAAACUUAGGUUAUGCAGCUCAUGACUCAUGUGCUCAUGUUUUACAGUAUGUUCAGUUCCAGUUACUCAUGUUACACUCUUAAUGACCAGUGAAACUUAGAUCAUGUCAUGUAUGUCCUCAGUUUUGAUCUCUUUAAUGAAUUCGUACUUUUGCUACUCUAUUCCCCAGGCCUCAGUUAAGCUCCCAAGGUAGGCAUAGUAUUCUUUUAUGUGUCAGGUCCUUAUGUUCUAACCUUUCAGUGACCUCUCCUUAUGUAAUGAUAGUGGCGAUGAGUAAUUGUUUAGAUGGGAGAGAGUAAAUAUUUCAUAUUAAGGAAAGAUCAUUGUAUGCUUGUUCUAUGUAAGGCUAUAAGCUGAAGAAAGAUUAAGGUUAAGCUUUUGAUAUAUGUCAUGGUUAGUUAAGAAUUCAUGUGUGUCUUCUUAAGAAUAAUGCAAGAAAAUUAUUUUGACAGAGGUUUAGAGAAUAUGAGAAAGAUGCUUUUAUGGGUUGUUCACCCAGAAGUUCAUAUUUGGUCAUCAUAAUAGGCUUGAAUGUCAUGUUGAUAUAUAAGUGGAUGGGUGCAUUGUGAGCUAGUGAAUUCCUAGUAAGAGGUUGAAUUUAGUUAUUAAAGGUGUAAGAAAAAUUAUUCUUGAGAUGAGAAGUUGUGAAAAAUACACGGGGUAUUGAAUUCAUGGUUUAGACUAGUGUUAUGGUGUUAUGUGUAGUACCUUGUGAUUUCGAGUUAGGGUUGAACUUGGUGAGAGUAUGUAGUUCAACUCAGACUUUGGCUAGAGUAGUUAUAUAUGCCCAUGUGAAAAUUUCAAGUUGAAUAAAUGAGCAUAGUAUUCAAGAGGGCAAAUAUGGUUGAGGAAGUAUUUGAGAAGAGUGAGUAAACUUGGAAAUUAGAAGUUGCCUUGCUUAAGGCAUAGUGAUUGUAUCCUAGCUGAUUCUUCAUAGACCUACAUUCCAUGUUAUAGAUUCAUAGCCAUGUUGCGAUUCCUUACUCAGAUGCCUUAUUCAGAUCAUGCCUAUGAUUUUUGCUCCCUAAUGUUAUUAGAACUUCCUGCAAAGAGUGUUGAAGAAAUACUCUAAUUUAGUAUGAACUUUCAAUAUGAGUUAGUCCGUAUAGACAAUAAUUUAGUUUAGCAGUCAGAAAGACAAGUUCCUAUGGUUUUCUAUUAUUUCAUCUAGUCUUACUAUCCAUGGUUUCAUGAAUAUGGAUGUUCCAUGAGGUAAUUCAUUCACGUCCAUGAAAGUUACGAAUUCAGUUCAGUUCAUGUGUUAUGAUUUAGAUUCAUCUAUGUAGUCAUGAUUCAGUUCAUAAAUAUUCACGAUUGAUCUCAGUUUUCCAUGUAUUUUCGCUCAAACAGUGUAAUACCCCUUGUACAAUCUUAGUCUCGUUAUCUCAUGAUUCAUGCUUGCAUAAGUUAUCACCUCGCAGUUCUAUGUGCAUGAUUGUAUCAUGAACACUUUAAGCGAGUUCUAAAAUUUCAGCAUGAAUCAGCUCCUUAUAGUAAGUAAAGUCAAGUCAGCUCAGGAACCAGUAACAUGAUAAAGUUAUAAUGCUUCAGCUCAUCUAUAUCCUUCAUUAACAACCAUGUCAUAUGUAUAUUAUUCCAUACUUAUAAGACUUCAACAAGUUCCUACCCAUCAUUUGAGGAUGAAUAAUUCCAAGGUAGAGAUAAUGUAACACCCUGUAUUUUCGGACUAGACUUUGAACCGUCGUUCGUACGAGUGUAAAAUCUAAUUCCAUGAUUUAUAUAAAUACAUGUGUCAUGAUCAUUAUAAUAGUGUUAAGAAUGCUUUUGAGGUGAAAAAUGUUCAUAGGAAUUACUUAGAGCGAAGAACCCUUGAUUUGGCUAAAUCUUUGUAUUCGAGUCUACAAGGAUCUACUUUGAAUGUGUAUAACUUUUGAUAUAUGGGUAAUUUUUCAGAUCAAGACCCACCAAAUGAUAUAUAAUUGAGUUAGCUUUCUAACUAUACCAAUUUCACCUUAAUAUGACACCCAAGUGAAAAGUUAUGGCCUUUUUCGUGAGAGGUAGUAAGGGUAGGUAAUAAGCCUACACCGUGGGGGUUAUUCCCACGGAAUAAGGCAGGCGUCAUGGGGGAUAAUCCCAUGUACUAGAGGGUGUACUUUGGGGUCUGUUCCUUCAGUGUUUCAGCUUCUUAAGGGUCAAGGGGUAGUUUGGUCCAUUCCCCUAAUCCUAAAUAUCCAAGGCACGAAUUAUAACACCCAAAAGGGCAGUAUUUGCCUAUCUUCUUCAAAUCAACUCACAUAAAAACCCUCUCCUUUCCCAAGAACUGUAAUUCAAGCUUUUUCUCUCAAUAACACAAGGAUUCAAGCUUCAAUUUCAAGAUUUAUUCAAGAAUCCGUUAAAUUAUUGUAUAUAGGGUUAUGAACAAGGGUCUCAUUUCACCCUUGUGACCAAAGUGCAUGAUUUUAAGAUUUAAUUUACUUGUUUAUGAAUUAGGGUUCAUACCUAAAUUUCUAUAUUCUUGAAGCAUGUUAUUUCCAUGAGAUUGAAAGCUUUAAGCUUAUCAAGAAUUGCUUAUGUUCAUGUUUUAACUUAUAAGAUUCGUAUUGUGAUUUUAGUUUCAUUAUUAUGACUGAGAUUGUUGAAAGAUUUCAAGAUGUCAACUAAGCAUGAAGUUUUGUCAUGAAUUUCCAAGAAUUUAAGCAUAUAUUAUAAGUUCGAAGUACAAGUAUUGAGUUUACAAGAAGAUUUUGCUCCUAAGCUCGAUUGAUAAGUUUUAUAUCAUGAUUUAAAGAAAAGAUUGAUCUUUUCAUCCUAACAUAAGAUAUGAAAUCCACAUAUGUUCAUCCUGAUUAUGAUUUAAAGAAAGAAAAGCAUAACUGGUUUUUGUUAUAUAAACCAUUAUGCUAUUUUAAGGUGGAUUUCCUAAAGUAUGAGCAUAUAAGUAAUAAGGGAGUAGUAUUUAGUACCGAUUUGGGUAUGAGUUCAAGGUCACAUGCUCCAAAACUACAUGCCAUGUAGGUUUAAGUCCCAAUAUGGGUUAAGUAUAGUGAUCACUCAAGUUAAGGUUCUAUUCUAAUGGCAAGGGUAGAAUAACUCUCCUCAACGUGGGUAAGAUGUUGGACACCAUGAUAGCUCACGUGGUUUAUGUCGGUUAGAAGAACCCCCCUAAAAAACCCAAAGGAAAGCUUUUAGAACUAAGUGUUAUGGCUUACAAAGUUUAUCCUUUUUCUUCAUUACUCAUGUUUAUGAUUUUGCAGUCUUUGUUUUAUUCAAGCUCAAGGUUAGUCAUCUACACUUAGCAUGCAUUAUUUGAAAGUCUAUGAGUAUAUUCAGUGAUUGUUUUACUUAUGCAUUCACCCCCUUAUACUCAGUACAUUCCAGAAGUAGUGAUCUAUAUAUAUGUCUAUGUGCUACAUUGUCUCAUAAUGUAGGUACCAGUUGUAGCCUACACGUCAUAAUUAGACAGUUUGCAGCUUUCAUCCAGCAAGUGAUGAGUUCUCCUAUUUUUGGGACUCCAGUCAGUUGUAGUCCAUGUACUUUAUUUUGAUUAUUCAUGUGUAUUGAUUAAUGGUAGUUAGAGGCAUGUCCCAUCUAUCUAUAGUCAAUAUAGUAGAGGCUUCAUAGAUAGUCAGUCAGAGUCAUGAAAUGUAAAUUCUAGUUCUUUCUUCAAUUUUAUCAGAUUGUAAACUUCAUCAGUAUUUUAUUUAUCUAUAUUAUGUCAUGAUUAUGUUUCCGCACAAUAAAUUUAGCUAUUUUAUUUAUUCUAAAUCAGUUGCUCAUGUACCAUAUCAGUUCAUAGGUUAGCUUGGGAUCACUUAUAGUUCUAAGAAAUGUGUUACAACUAGGGGGAAACCUCGGGUCGUGACAGUAUCUCAUAACCUCUCUAGCUAGUGUUUAUGGAUCAAGGUAUUUAUUAAAGUGUUUCUUAGUAGUACCAGUUUUCAUGAAUAUGAAUGAGUAAGAUGAGGAUGUAUGCUCAUAACCAAGUCUAUAUAAUGAUAAUGAAUUAAUUUAAUAAUGACAUAAAUGAGCUCAAAUAUCCUCAAUAUUAUAAUAUCUAUGAUAUAAGACCUCCUCAACAUCACUAAAGUGAAUAGUCAUGUAGAUAUCAAUAAUAUCAUCUCAAAAACCUCUCUCUCAGGUAUUACUAUCAUGAUAAAGGUAAAUAAUGUUCAAAAAGCCUAUAAUAUCUAUUUAAACCCCUGCACGGGUAACAAAAAAUGAUAGUGGUAUUUAAUGCACUCAUAAGGCCCAUAUAUGUUAUAAAAACCCCACUCGGGCAUCGCUACAAUUAUAUUUGCUCUAGUCAACAACAAUAUGCAAAUAAGACUCUAAAUAGUCAUAUGAUAAUAAUAAUAAUUCCAAAAUAUUACUCCCUCAACUAGAUUCCUAACCCAUAGCAUGUUUUUCAAGAAAGUUUACUCAACCCAGUCUAAAGAAAGUUAAGCCAUAACCAAUCUCAAAAUGCCAAAAUCUAAGCCUAGUUCAUUUAAUUUAGAGCCUUUCCUUUACAAACAAUCUUAAAAUAGCUAAAUAUACCAAAAAUAUACUCUAUGCAUUAAAAAGAAGCGAAUGAUACCCAUAUUAGUUAGAUAUAAAUUGAGUCUAAAAUUAGUUUGCAAAUGGAUUCAAAAUUAAAAAGGAUAAAAUCAGAAUUUUAUUUUAGUAACAUGUUGCCCAUGGGAAAAGGAAUCUAUAUUUGAAAAUACAAGUGAAGAAUAGUUAAAAUUGGUGUUCAGAAUGAUGAAAAAUUCUUUUAAUAGUUCACCGAAAAUAUCUCCAAAUUCUAGUUUGAAAAUAAGAUUCAAAGUUUUAUUUAAGAUAUAAUUAAUGAAAACUAAUAAAAAUAAGAGCUUAGAGCUUAUCCAAGAACAAAUGAUGAAGAAAACCUUAUAAUUUAUCCUUUCCUGAGUUCCAAAGUCUAAUAAUGGUGAAAAUUGUGUAUUUAAACUAUUCUGUAAAUAUUGCCUCACAAUUUUGGCCCCCACCUUGUGAUAGCGAGGGUCAAAGUUGACCAAUUUUGAAGCUGGUCAUUGUGAUUAUGUAGCUGAACCUCGCGAUCGUGAUGAUUCAACCCGAUCCUAUCCAUCAUUUAACUCUUCGCGAUCGUGGUACCCCCUCCUCUUGAAUGCAAUGAGUUACUUGAUAAAGGGUCAUGAUGGUGUCUAUAACCACACAAUUUUUUAUCAGAACCAAUACCCAUGCAUGCAUUGUAUUAUCUUUACAUUAAUAGUUAUCUUAGCGGUUGUAAAUGUUAGGAUCUCGCCUAAAUUAUUACUACCUACUCCAAAAGAGGAGUAGUGACUAGAAAAAGAUAAUGACAACAGUAAUUUGAGGUUUACCUGGCGAUCCACGCUACUAGGUCAUAUCUAAGUAAGAUGGUUAGAUUUCUUCUAUUUACUAGAGACUCAAAAGGUAAUAGUUAACUAGGAUCAAGAUAAAGGUUAGUAAGGUGACAUCCUGAAACUCAAAAGGUAAAUGGUGAAAUCCUUCUAUUCAUCCAAAAGACUGUAGAAGGUACAAAACUUAUCGAUUCUGAAUCCAAGGUAUUGGGUUGGUUAAACUAAGCACGAUAAGAUUACAAAGUUGAGAAGCUAGGGUGAACAUAAUACUAGUGUUCACCUAUGACUGAUUACAACCGAAGUUGAUAUUUGCUACUUGUUUUAGAUUACUACACAAAUCCCCCUAUUUACUUUUCCAGUUUUGACCGUUGACUACAACUGAUGAGAGCCAUGAUUCCAUGUAUUCCCUUGGGAUUCGACCCAAACUUUGUUUGGUUACUUUAUUUAACAGCGACCGUAUCAUCUUCUGAGAGGAGAUAUAACUUGGACGUCAUCAAAUUUUGGUGCCGUUGCCGAAGAAUAUGUGUUGAUUUAUGAAUUACAGUUAUUGUAAUUUUUGGGUUUUCUUUUUAUUUUACUCUUAAUUAGGAAUAUGACGGUGUAUGACUAGCAUAUAGAGUAGAGGAAAUCCUUUACUCCCACUGAAUUCAAAUCCAGAGAGGAUCCUACAAACACUUAGUAGGAUGUCAAAAUCGAAGAGAGAUAAUCUCCCUAAAGAAGGAAUUUAGGAUAUCACUGAUGGAUAGAAUGGUAAGCUAUUAGCUAAGACAAAGUUAGCUGAGCAGAGACAGGAAGCAGAGCGGACUCGGUGGAAAUUAGAACAAAACUAGAGGUGCCCAUCUUCAAGUAGUCCCAACAUAUCAGUACUUGUAACCAUUUAUUGAUGAUGAAGAAGUUCUGGGAUACGUUGAGCCAGAAGAUCCUGGAGCCAUUAUCCCUCCUAUUUACCUCUUAAUAUCAAGUUCAAUAUCUCUACUACUAUGAUCCAGCUCUUGUACUUGAAGGGUGUGUUUACGGGGUUACCUAUAAAUGAUGCAAACAUGCAUCUAGUAAAUUUUACUAGGAUAUACACUUUACAUACUAUUCUUGGAGUAGAUCAGGAGGCACUUAGAAUAAGGCCAUUCCUCUUCUCACUUACUGGAGAAGUAUUUUUAUGGCUAGAGGAUCUGCCAAAAGGAUCCAUCACUACAUAGAACGAGCUACACAGACAAUUCCUGAACAAAUUCUUUCCUUCAUCUAGAGUGUUGCAGCUAAAGAAUGAGAUAUAUAAUUUCAUGCAGCUACAGUCAGAAUCUACGAUAAGGCAUGGUUCAGGUUCAACAAGAAGCUUAGCAUGGUACCAAAUCACUGAAUUUAAGGGACGAGCUUACUAGAGAUAUUCGGUAAAGCCUUGACCAUCAGUUCUAGAGCUAUGGAAGAUACUAUUUCUGGAGGGGCAUUUAUGACAUUAAGACGGGAAAUAACUUCUUAUAUCAUGGAUCAAAUCUCACUCGCUAAUAUAGGGUAACAGACUUGGUAGGAUGAGAGAGGUUUUGAUACUUAUGCCAUUGGAGUUUCAAAUAAGUAGAGAGUAGCUAAGAAUGUUGUAGCAUAUGAGAUUUCUCUAUUGAGGACUGAUAUUGGUGAUUUGGCCAAAUAGUUUACAACAAUGAACUGGACAAAGGUUAAUGCAGUAGGGGUACAGAGAGUAAAUUCCAGAGUUUAUGAGUCUGAGUUAAAAGAGGAGGUAAAGUAUCUAGAUUAACAGAUGGUGGGUUUCUGAGCCCAAGGGCAAGGAAAUCAAGGUUAGAACUAUUAUGGAAAUAAAGACAAGUACAUACCACCUGGAAGAUAAGAUGCGGAGUCGAGAAUAGAAGAAAUGUUAAUAAAGCUGAUGAGGGGUCAAAAGAGCCAAGAAGCUUGACUUCAAGAACUUAAGGUUGAUAUUUAGGGAUUAGCAUAAAAGGUUGAGUCACAUACGAUUGCUAUUAAGCAGUUGGAGUAGCAGUAUGGGCAAAUCUCUAUCACUUUAACUGAGAGAUAGUCAGGAGCCCUUCCUUAUGAUAGUGUGCAGAAUCCUCUAACACUUGUUCAUAAUUUGGAUAUUAACACUAGGAAUGACUCCUCAUCUGAUGAGUAUUUUCUGCCUACUACUAAUGAGAUAAAGAAAGAGAAUAUUAUUGCUGACAACCUACUUAAGGCAGAGUUUGAGAAGCUAACUUAUAGUGAUUAUGAUUUUGAGAGUGAUUAUGAUAAUUAUUUGGUUGUAGAAGAGCUCCAAAAUAUAGUGAAGAAGUUUAGCACAAAUUCCUAUGCACCAUCAGUAGAAAAGAAGGGGGACCUAGGUACAAUGACUAUCCUAUGUUCUAUUGGGCCUUAUGAUUUUAAUCAGGCUCAAUAUGAUUCGGGAGAAGGAAUAAAUGUAAUUCCAUUGGUGAUAUACAAGGUGUUGGGGUUAGGAGAACUCAAGCCUAUAUCUGCAAGACUUUAUAUGGCCGAUUUAUCUAUAAAGGAGCUAGUGUGUAUUUUGCAUGAUGUAGAAGUAAGAGUGGCAUCAUUCACCAAUCUGGUAGAUUUUAUGAUUUUAGACUGUGAAGUGGAUGCCCAAUAUUUGAUUAUAUUGGGUAGACCCAUCUUGUCUACUAGUCAGGUGUUGAUUGAUAUGGAUUUGGAGGAGAUCACAUUCAAAUAGAACAAUGAGCAAAUUGUGUUAAAUAUAUGCAUGACAGUAUAAUAGUCAAAUAAUAUAAGAGUAGUGGUAGUGAUUGAUACAAUGGAUGAUGAUGUGGUGAUAGUAGAUGUGCCUAUUAAGGAGAGAUUAAGGGUAGAAACAUUAGCAACAAUAGUUAUGAACUUUGAGAGUGAUGGGGUAGAUGACUAUGAUGAGCUAGCGAGUGCACUACAUUGCAUAAGCUCUUACAAAUAUGCCCUAAGAAGCUGGAUCUUGACUUGAAGAAUAGAAACACACCUCCUACAAGACCAUCCAUUGAAGAACCACUGAUAUUGGAAUUAAAGGCCCUUUUACCUUAUUUGCAGUAUGCAUUCUUGAGGGACAACAAUACUUUAUCGGUAAUUAUUACGAUAAAUUUGGCAGGAGCAUAGGUAGAAGCUUUGAUAUUAGUGUUUCGAAAUUUCAAGAGAUCUAUUAAGUGGACCAUUGCUGACAUUGUAUGGAUUCCACCAGUUAUAUACACACAUAAGAUACAACUUGAGCUGGACAAUAUUCCCAGUAUUGAGCAUCAUAGAUGACUGAACCCUCCUAUGUAAGAGGUGGUAAAAAAAGAGAUAAUCAAGUGGUUAGAAGCUGGGGUGUUUUUCUCAUUGCAGACAGCAAGUGGGUAAUCCCAAUUUAAUGCAUGCCAAAGUAAGGGGGAAUCACAGUAGUCCACAUGAAAAAAUGAAUAAGUACCAAUGAGGCCAAUGGCCGGAUGAAGAGUAUGCAUGGAUUAUGGAAAGUUGAACAAGUGAGCACAAAAGCACCACUUCCCUAUGCCAUUUAUGGAUCAGAUGCUAGACAGACUAGUAGUUAGGGAUUGGUACUAUUUUCUUGAUGGGUAUUCAGGUUACAAUCAAAUCAUAAUUGCUGCCAAAGACCAAGAAAAUACUACCUUUACUUUCCCCUAUGGGACCAUUACAUUCAAGAGGAUGCCGUUUGGACUGUACAAUGCACCUACCACUUUUCAGAGAUGUAGGGUAUCCAUAUUCUCUGAUAUAGUGGUAGACACUAUCGAGGUAUUCAUGGAUGACUUUUCACUGGCCGGGGACUCAUUCAAUAACUCUAUAGCCCAUCUGGCCAGUGCACUUCAGAGAUGUGAAGAGUGUAAUUUAGUGCUAAAUUGGGGAAAAUGUCACUUCAUGGUGAGAAAAGAUAUCGUGUUAGGGCACAAGAUCUCCAAACAUAUUAUUGAGGUGGACAAAGUGAAUAUUAAAGUGAUUAAGAAAUUACCCCCACUAGUAUUAGUUAGAGGCAUACAAGACUUUUUGGGCCAUACAGGUUUUUAUAAGAGGUUCAUCCAGGACUUCUCUAAAAUUACAAUUUGUUUAUGUAAACUUUUAGAGAAGGAGGUGAAAUUUUUGUUUGAUGAUGCCUAUCUUAAGGAUUUCAAAUGCUUGAAGAAGCGGUUAUUUUGGCACCUUUUAUUGUGUCGCUUGACUUGUCUGCACCUUUUGAGGUUAUGUUUGAUGCGAGUGGAAUGUCCUUGGGUUUUGUACUAGUAUAAAAAAGAAAGAAGAUCUUGUAUCCCAUCUACUAUGCCAGCAAAGAUUUAAACCUCUGCACAGAAAAAUUAUACAAUCACAGAAAAUGAGCUGCUUGUGGUGGUUGUUGCUUUUGAAAAAUUUUAGUUUUAUUUGAUUAGGACCAAGGUUAUAGUUUAUACUAACCAUGCAACCUCGAGGUACUUGAUGUUGAAUAAAGAUGCCAAACCAAUGUAUUUAUUGAGUUCUCUUGUUGUAAGAGUUUGAUUUCAAAGUAAAGGACCAGAAAGAGAAAAAAAAAUUAAGUUGUAGACUACUUAUCUAGACUUGAGGAGGAGACCAUACAUAAACUAGGGGAUGAUUUUGAGAUAGAUGAUUCUUUUCCAAAUGAGCGGAUGUUAGUGACAUCUCAAGAUUUCAUUCCCUAGUUUUCUAAUUUUUCCAACUAUUUGGCAAGUGAUCUUGUCCAAGAAGAUCUAUCCUCCCAGCAGCGAUAGAGAUGUAUACAUAAGGCAAGAAAGUUCUUUGGGAUGAUCCAUAUUAAUUUAGGGUUUGUGUCGAUGGUGUAAUUCAAAUAUGUAUACCAGAGGUGGAGAUGAUAAGCAUUCUAGAGGCUUAUUAUUCAUCACCAAUUAGGGGUCAUCAUAGUUGUACACGCACAAUCCAUAAGAUCCUACAAUGUGGGUUUUAUUGUCCGACAAUCUACAAGGAUGAUCAUGAUUUUGCACAGGCCUAUGAUCAAUGUCAACGUCAAGGCAAUGUUUCUCGAUUCCAUGAACUCCCCAUGAUACCUAUUUUGGAGUUGAAGCCAUUUGAUAUAUGGGGGAUUGAUUUCAUGGGUCCAUUUGUGAGCUCCUAUGGCAUGGGAUACAUUCUGGUAGUGGUUGGCUUUGUAUUAAAAUGGGUGAAGGCAUUUUCACUUCCAGACAAUGAAGGUAGAAGUAUCACUGCCUUUUUGAAGAGAAAUAUCUUUUCUCAAUUUUUCACUCCACGUGUAAUUAUUAGUGAUGAUGGGUCUCACUUCUACAACCGAUUGUUUAAAGCCAUACUUGAUAGAUAUGGUGUAAGGCAUAAGGUGGUGACACCUUACUAUCCUUAGACAAGUGGGCAAGUGGAAGUCUCCAAUAGAGAAAUAAAGUCUAUCUUGGCGAAGACUGUGAAUGCCUCAGGAUUGACUGGUCUAGAAAGUUAGAUAAUGUAUUUUGGGCCUACCAUACAACUUAUAAGACCUCCAUAGGUGCCUCCCAAUAUUAUUUGGUGUAUGGAAAAGCAUACUACUUACCGGUUGAGCUAGAGCAUAAGGCACUAUGGGCAUUGAAAAGGCUACAUUUUGAGUGGCGUGAUGUAACAAACUUAAGGUUGAGCAAGGUAAAUGAGUUGGAUGAAAUCUGACUCGAUGCUUAUGAGAACUCGAUGAUAUACAAAGAAAGAAUGAAUUUGUAUCAUGACAAGAAGAUCAGAAAAAAAUAUUCAAACCUGGUGAUUUGGUCUUGUUAUAUAAUUCAAGACUAUGUUUGAUUCCUUGCAAACUGAAAUAAAAAUGGAAUGGACCAUUCACUGUGGUUAAGGUGUUCCCAUAUCAUGCUAUUAACAUAAAAUUUGAUGGUGAUAUCCCAUUUAAAGUGAAUGAGUAGUGAGUGAAACACUACAUGGAAACCUGUAAGAAGUAAGAGUUUGUUCUGAGAUAGACCUUGGUGAAGUCUGGGUAGCCAAGGGAACCAAGUCAUGCCGCGAUAGUAAAUCACACACUGCUUGGUAAUGUGCCAUGGAAAAAUCACACAUUCGAUCCUUAAAACAAGGAAUUUAUGCUUGGACUUAGGUUAUUUUAGUAGAUAUAAUGUGGUUUUGUAAGUUGUGUAGGUGAAACAGUUUAACAUUGGUCUUGAAAUGAAAAAUGGAAGAAAAAGUGCUAAAACUAGAGAUGACUGACCAUCUUACGAGUCUAGAGUAUAAGUCAUCAAGUCAUCAUAUGACUCGUAGACUUACUCAUAGGCAAGACAGCAAUAAAAGACAACCUGAAAAAGCUAAGUGGAGAAGGACCAUGAUCGUAAGGAGUGAAUAUGAAUCGUGAGAAGCAGGUCAUAAAUAGAACUGGAGCUAAAGCAAAUAUUAAGAGGUGAAUUCCUAGAAGACUAUUUCUUAAGAGCUGAUUUCAACAUGUAAGGAUAAGUCAUAAAGAUACCAGAGUUUAAAGCCCUAAGAAUCUAAGGCUCAAGUUACGCCGAGUGAUGGCCACGAGUAGUAAGGAUUGAAUAUGACUCAUGGUAAUGAAUUGUAACUACAAUAAAAUAUUAGAGCCCCAAAGAUAAGUCACUGGAGUGCUUACAACUAGCACCGUACGACUCGUAAAAAGACCUUAUAAGUAGACUACAUGAGUCGUAAUGAGUGCCGAUUUACUUUUCCUAUCGCAUUUUUAUUAGGACUUCUUUAUUAUUUUGAGAUAUUAUAUGUACCUUUGGGUUAUUCCUAUUUUAGGUUAUGCACUUUUACAUUACUUUUACUACUUUUAGCAUACUUUCAUCAUUGAGAUCUUGUUGAGAAAUUAAUUACAUGUGUUCUUUAUUGAUUAUCAUGGAUUAUUUCAUGAACAUGAGCAACUAAUUUUCUUGACUUGGGUUAUGGGAACCCUGGCGGAUUAAAAACAUAAAGUAAGUGGGAGAUUUAUCUAUUCUAUUGUAGUUGCAUGUAUCUUAAUAUUCUUUAUAUUAAUUGACCUCAGAGUUACUGCAGAAGCUUGAGGAUUUCCUAAUUCUAGAACGUCCUCAUAAGUGAGUUUGAGAUUAUGAAAAGGGGAUUAAGACAAAAAUUUGAGAUUCACGUCCAUCUUAUAAUUCUGCCAUCUCAUUUAAUCAACUCGAGACUCAAAAAGUGAAAUUUGAAUUGAGGUUAUUGGUAAGGGAAAAUAAGGAGAUACCUUGAGACUCACAAGGUUAAGGGUGAGAUUUAGCAACAAGUUCACAAGAUGAUUGAUAAUACAUAGCUUGUCGACUUUACUUGCAGAGCAACAGAAUAGGUGAGUUGAAAAAUAGAAGUUUAUGGAGUUGAGGAUCCAGGGGGAACACAGUCCUAGUGUUCGUCUUCUACUGUUUACGAACCCAAGCAUACAAGUUCUAUUACUAUUCACUUUUGACUUCAAAUUCCCCCUAUUUACUUUUUUUGCAUUUCUCAUGAAUUUUGUCAAGUUUGAGAUAUUGAUCAACAUUUUCUCUGUGGGUUUGACCCCAACCUGAUUUGGGUUACUAUAUUUGACAUCGACCAUAACAUACCUCUUUAGAGGUCAGUUUCUUGGCGACAUUACUUGGGAGCCAACCCAAGGUACACAGAUGCCUAGUGCAUCCCAAGUAUGUUUUACUUCCCUCUAUUUUACUUUAUUUUAGUGCAUUGAGGACAAUACAUAGUUUUUAGUUGGGGAUGGGAAUACUAUACUGCCGCGAGUUUUUCUUGUCGUGCUUCUUUUUCUAUCGGGCGCGGUAUGGUUGUAUAACCGACAUGUCUAGGAUAAAUUUUUGUCCUAUUGUGUUGUAUCUUUGUGUAAUUAGGAGAUUUUUAAGUAUUUAGGGCAGUAGUCAUAUUCUGAUUAAUUUUUGAUACCUGUCUGAAAAAUAUUUGUGUUUUACAAUUGUGUGGAGGUAUAUAUGUGUGAACAUUAUGGAUCUUGUUAUGACAUUAGCAUUAGGGAUAUGAUAAUCACUUGCUAACAAUUGCAUAAAAUGGAUAGUAGUAGUUUGUAAUACUGACUCUAUACCAUAUGUGUGUGAGAUACUACCUAGUGCCCUUUAUGUGUUGAAUUCAGAACUUGACUGGUUAGUCUUACCUAGGAUGAAAGAUCAUCGGGUUAGGAAAGGAUCAUAGGCUAUUUUUUUAUUUUAUUUCACUUUUAGCCUAAGUGACCUUCCCUAUGUGAAAUAGUAUCCCUUGAUCCCUAUUUUAAGCAUUAUAGCCUAUUUUCUUGUUUUGCCAAUUCAUCUUCCCAUUUAUAUUACAAUGAACCUGUUUUGGUCCUGAUCCUCCUUGGAUAUUGUGCACCUCAACACAGGCAAAUAUCCUAAGUUGAGUGUGGCUAUCAUAUGCGUGUGUAGUGUAAAAUAGGUAUGUAAAAGGGUAAAAUAAGAGAAAAAGUUAUUAGGGUUGGGUGUGGUUGAAAAAUAAAGAGAAAAAUAAAAACAAUUGCAAUAAAAGUGAAAAAAAAUAAAGACCACACCCAACCUGAAUGCGCAAUAAAGAAUAAAAAGGAAGAAAUUGUAUUACCCUAAAAAUCCAAACCAAUGUUAGCACCGUGUUUCAAGCUCAUGCAUAGUACUUCAUAGUUCUUUGAUAGUUUUAUUAGUUAGUUUGAUGUACGUUAAGGCCUCAAAUAACUCCCAGCUACUAGGUGAAUCCAAACAUCCCUUACCAAUUGAGUUUUCGGGAAGUAUGUUCUAAUAGUCAACUUCAAACGAGCAUAUCUUUUUCUCUACUUAGAAUUUUCCAGCUCAAGACCCAACAAGUUGUAUGAAAUUAAAUUAGAUUUCCAACGAUACUAAUUUUGCCUAAAUUCAAUCUCGGGUGAGAAGCUAUGGAACUUUUAGUGUGAAACAUUAUACCAAUACGAUAAGGCUUCACCGUGGUGAUGGCCAAAAUCACGUCCGUCCUUUUCUAGUGUGUCACCGCGGUAAGCACCGUGUUGCACCAACGGGAAUUUUUGAGUUCAUCACUUUCCAGUGAGGCACCGCGAUUGGCACCGUAUCGCGCCAAGGUUUCAAACCGAGAUUAUCCAUUUCCAGGGGUGCAACGCGAUAGCACCGCGUUGCUCCAUUGGAAAAAAUGGGGAUUUUCCUUUUCCAGUGGCACGACGCAAUUGCACCGCAUCGCGUCGGAGCCAAAAAUCAGGAUUUCCAGUUCAGUUUUGGAUUUUUAAUUUUCAAAGGGAUUUAAGUUCUUUACCUUCACCCCACUCAGUCCAAACACGGGAUUUAACUCCCAAGAGAGCAUUAUUUGCUCAUUAUUUCAUAAUCCUCUCAAAUUAAAGUAUCCCUCUUUCAAGAACAAAACUCUAGCCUUCAAGAUUCAAGAUCAAAUCUCAAGAAAAACUCCAAGAACUCUCACGAAUUCAUCAACAUAGGUAUGUUAAGUGUUCAUCUAUGGGUUCUUUUCACCCGUGGAGUAUAAAUAUCCAAUUCUAAAUUCAAAUUUGGGAUCUUUACAAGUUUUCAUAUUUUUAAUUGUGAUUUUAACUAUGAAUUCCCAUGAAUUGUAAUUCUACACCAUGUUUACAUUCAAUUGUUGUUGAUAUUGAACCCUACAUAUUUGAACAAUGCUAUUCUCUCAUUUAAAUCAUACUUAGUGAUGUUAAUGUUGAAAUCAUGUUAUUUCCACAAGCUUUACACUAUUACCAUGCUUAGCUUGAUCUAUGAAUGUCAAAUGUUUGAUGAAAUGCCUACAAGAAUGAGUUUUUGGAAAAUGCUUUCAUAUUAUGUCCUCCAAGUUUAGUACUAUUUUACUAUUAUUGCUAUCAAGUCCUGGGAGUUAUGAAUACCCAAAAAAUUAGCUGUUUACUUAGUCUCAGUAUCUUUAGAAUAGUUUUAGAAUAUGUUAUAAGCAUUAUCAGUUCAGUCAGUCAUCAUAAUCAGUUAAACUUAGAACAGAUCAGUAUUCUGAGUCAGUUCAGUUAGGAGUAGGAUUUAUCACCGAGCUAGUUCAGGGAUGGCGGCUUCCCCGUCAGAUAGGAAAAGCCAUUAGUAGCAGUCUUUGUACUCUAAAACUACGUAGCUAGCAUAGGAUGUGAGGAGUCACCCGUUAGUUUAGGCUUGACUACCUCGCGGGGGUCACCCGUCAGUUUAGGAUUGACACCCUUAGUCUUUCGAGACAACAUAUUAGUGGACCACACAGCCAGUAUUAGUACCCAUGGCACAGUACUGACACCCUUCCAACUGAGGUCACAGGUUGGACCCCAAAUUUGGUCAUUGGGGCAUGUCAGUUGAUGAUUGCUCCCACAGUCUCAGUCAAGUAAUCAGUUUAGUAAUUCGGUUUUAGUUUACUUGACCAUAGCAUACAGAUAUCAGAUAUUCAGUUAUCAAAUUUCUAUAUUUUGGUUUACCUAUAUAUUUGGAACAUAUUUUAUGCUUGGUCACGCAUCAGUCAAUAUCUACAGAUUUAAUGUAUUCUUAGUAUUUACAAAUUUUAUGCAUUCUAUUUAGUAUUUCAUGCUAUUUAUUCAGUCAGUUAUUAUGCAUGCACAUGAAAUCAUGCAUAUCAGCUACCUUAUUUAGCAUACCAGCACAUCCAAAGUACUGAUCGCAUACUUUUUUCUUGUGCCAUGAUGUAUCAUAUCAUAGGUUCGGAUGCUCAGUUCUCGGAUCGCGUAUAGACCUUCUAGAUUAUCAAUCGUAGCAGUGGUGAGUCCUCAUAUUUGGAGUAUAAACUAUAUUUAUUUUUAUGCUUUUAGUUCAGUAGUUAGAUGGAGUUAGUUGGGGCCUGUUCCAUCAACUCUUAUUCAGUCUAUUUAUAUGUUUUUGGACACUUCAGACAGUCAGUUUAUAUUUAUUUUAUCAGUUUCAGGCAGUUGUUUUUAGAAAGUUGUUUUCUAGAUUUAUGAUACAUAAAUGUUUUAGUAUUUAAAAUCUUAUGGCAUCUUCAAAUAUUUUGCCUAUGUUAUUUUGUUAUUAUUAUUCAGUGCUCACAGCAGGUACCAACUCAUGGGUUAGCUUGUGGUCCCUCGAGGUUGUAAACACCGUGUGGCACCCAGGGAGUACUCUCGGGGUGUUACAAACUUUGUAUUAGAGCUUAAGAUUUUAAAGUGUCCUAGGAAGUCUGAAAUCCACAUUAAGUAGAGUCUUAUGCAUGGGUGUGAAGCGUGCCACACUUAUGGGCAAGAUGCUAUAAGGCAUUUUAGGAAAAGUUCCCUUAUUUUAGUGUUUAUUUCGUGCGACUGAGCGUGAGAUUAUUUUAAACUCUUUUUAUAAUCCAUUCUUCCUUUUGUUUAUAGAAUAUGCCUCCCAGGAAGACAAACAAAAGAAGAAACGUAAAGCAUCUAACACCUCCACCCGCUCAGGAAGAUCCCUUGAAUGAGUAUAUUUCUUAUGAAGAGUUUAGAGCUGUAUUCACUACUCUAGCUCACAUUAUAGUGGCACAAAAUGUUCAUCCAACCGCUGUUCCGGCCAACCCAGUGGCGAAUACUACUGCAGCUAGGAUUCGAGACUUUACCCAAAUGAAUCCUCCUCUAUUUUUAAGAUCCAAAUCUGAAAAGGAUCCGCAGGAAUUCUUAGAGAUAGUAAAAAAGGUCACAAAUAUUAUGGGGGUAACUGCUAGUGAGAGUGAUGAGUUGACUGCUUACCAGCUGCAGGAUAUAGCCCAUACUUUGUUUAAGCAGUGAAAGGUAGAUAGAGGCGCAGAUGCAGGGCCUAUAGAGUAGAAAGAGUUUUCUACUGCCUUCUUAGAUAGGUUCUUACCAUUAGAGUUUAGAGAGUCUAAAGUGUUAGAGUUCAUCAACUUGAGGCAGGGUAAUAUGAGUGUGAAAGAGUAUUCCCUCAAGUUUACUCAGCUAACUAGGUAUGCUCGUCAUGUGGUUGCUGAUAGCAGGUCUAAGAUGAGCAAGUUCAUGUCUGAGGUAUCAUACUGUAUGUUCAAGGAGUGUAGGACUACAAUGUUGAUAAAAAAGAUGGAACUAUCUAGGCUUAUGGUCCAUGCUCAGCAGAUUGAGGAGAAUAAUACUAAGGAAAGAGAGAUGGAGAAUAAGAGGGCUAGAAUGGAUAGCUUCAAAUUUACUCAGCCAAAUUCAGAGGGUGGUAAUCAUCCUUAAUUUUAUCAAAAAUCCUUAUUCCCAGAUUCAUUUUCAGCUAGUGGCCCAAUACCCAAAUUCAGAAAUAAUAAUUAGGAUAGGGUGCCAGGCUCUAAGUCCCAAGGUAGUGUUAACAGUGGUCGUACAAAUACUCUUUGCCAAAAAUAAGGUAGAAACCAUCAGAGUGAAUGUAGAACUAGAAGUGAUGCAUGUUUUGGGUAUGGCAAACUAGGCCAUCGAAUUCAGGAGUGUUGGGUAGUUUCUCAUAAAGGUAGGGAUUUGCGCCAACAAGGCCAGUCCCAUCAGUCAUUAGUUCUAGUCAGCCGUUCUACUUAGCAGGGUGCCACUUCCAGUGCUACUAGUGGUCAGCGUCCAAAUAGAUUAUAUGCCCUUCAGUAUCGAUUGGAUCAGGAAAAUUCUCCUGAUGUGGUCACUAGUACGUUGCAAGUCUUUCAUUUAUAUGUUUAUACUUUAUUAGAAUAUGGAGUUUUUCUUUCUUUUAUAACCCCUUAUAUGACCGUCAACUUCAGAGUCAGUCUCAAAAUCAUAGCAGAGACUUUUUCAGUGUCUACCUUAAUGGAUGUCUCUAUUGUAGCCCGGUGGGUAUACAGGAACUGCCCAAUUACAGUGUCUUAAAAAGUUAUUUUAGUUGAUCCUAUAAAGUUAGAGAUGAUAGAUUUUGACAUCAUUCUCGGUAUAGAUUGGCUCCACUCAUGCUAUGCUUCAGUUGAUUGUAGAAAUAGAGUAGUUCAUUUUUAGUUACCAAAUGAGCUAGUCCUUGAAUGGAGGGGUAGUACUACAACGCUUAGGGGUCAGCUUGAUUCGUACCUUAGAGCGAGGACGAUGAUAUCCAAGGGGUGUAUUUAUCAUCUUGUCCAAGUCAAAGACUCUAAUUUUGAGACUCUAACUCUUGAAUCAGUUUUAGUGGUGAGGGAAUUUCCAGAUGUGUUCUCCGCAGAUCUUUCCAGAGUUUUGCCCGAAAGGGAAAUCAACUUUGGAAUAGACCUUCUUCCAGAUACCCUGCCUAUAUCUAUUCGCCAUACAGAAUGGCUCUAGCCGAACUCAUAAAGUUGAAAGAACAAUUGAAAGAUCUCCUAGAUAAGAGAUUUCUCAAGCCCAGCAUCUCUCAGUGGGGUGCACUAGUCCCAUUCGUGCACAAGAAAGAUGAUCCUCUUAGAAUGUGUAUUGACUACCAUUAGUUGAAUAAAGUCACAAUCAAGAAUAGAUACCCAUUUACCAGAAUCGAUGACUCGUUCGACCAACUUUAGGGUGACAGUUACUUUUCUAAGAUAGACCUCAGAUUCGGCUAUCAUUAGCUCAGAUUCAAACAAUAUGACAUUCUUAAAAUAGCUUUUAGUACUCGGUAUGGUCACUUCGAAUUCCUAGUCAUGUCCUUUAGUAUCACGAAUGCCCCAACAGCUUUUAUGGACUUGAUGAACCGAGGUUUAAGCAGUACUUGGACACGUUCAUCAUAGUCUUCAUUGAUGACGUUCUUGUCUACUCCCGUAGUGAAAAUGAUCAUACAGACCACCUCAAAAUAGUAUUGCAGACUCUUAGAACCCAUCAGUUGUUUGCUAAAUUCAGUAAGUGUGAAUUUUGGAUAAGAUCAGUGGCUUUUCUAGGAUAUAUUAUUUCUGGUGAUGGAAUUAAAGUUGAUCCUUAAAAGACUGAAACGGUGAGAAACUGGCCCAUACUUAUUUCUCCAUCAGAUAUCAGGAGUUUCUUGGGUUUGGCUGGCUAUUACCGAUGGUUUUUUGAAGGGUUUUCAUCUAUUACGUCCCUCAUGUCUAGAUUGACUUAGAAGAAAGUUAAGUUUCAGUGGUCAGAUUCUUAUGAGAAGAGUUUUUAGGAGUUAAAGAUUCGACUUCUAGUUUUGACAUUACCAGAUAGUUCGGAUGGGUUUGUUGUGUACUGUGAUGCUUUCAGAGUUGGUUUAGGGUGUGUUUUGAUAUAAAAGGGUAGGGUUGUGGACUAUGCCUCUAGAAAACUUAAACCCUAUGAAAGGAAUUACCCUGCCCAUGGUAUGAAGUGCAUGUUGAUGUGUUCACAGAUCACAAAAGCUUGUACUAUGUGUUUUCACAGAAAGAUUUAAACCUCCGCUAGAGAAGGUGGUUAAAAUUGUUGAAAGAUUAUGAUAUGAGUGUUUUGUAUCAUCCGAGUAAGGUCAAUGUAAUGGAAGAUUCCCUAAUUAAAUUAUCUAUGGGUAGUGUUGCUCAUGUUGAGGGUGAUAAGAAAAAGUUAGUUAUAGAAGUUCAUCAGCUUGCCAGAUUAGGUGUUCGUUUGGUUGAUUCAACUAAGGGUAGUAUUUGGGUUGAGAAUAGUUCAGAAUCUUCUUUGGUUGCCGAAUUAAAAUAAAAGCAAGACAGGGAUCCUAGUCUGGUGAAGCUGAAAGAUUCAGUCAGAGAUCAGAAAGUAGAGGUUUUCUCCCAAGGGGGAGAUAGUAUGUUGCAUUGCCUAGGUAGACUAUGUCUGCGUAUGUUGAUGAGUUGAGACAGUGAAUUCUUGAAGAAGCGCAUGGUGCAUGUUACUUAAUUUAUCCAGGGGCCACGAAGAUGUACUAUGAUUUAUGAAAAAUCUAUUGGUGGAGUGGGAUAAAGAUGGAUAUUGCAGAGUUUAUGGCUAAGUGCUCCAUGUGUCAUUAGGAUAAUAUUGAGCAUUAGAAGCCUAGUGGGUCUAUGCAGGAGUUCAGUAUUCACACUUGGAAGUGGGAGGAAGUGAACAUAGAUUUUGUGAUAGGUUUACCUCUUACCCCUCGACAACAUGAUUUGAUUUGGGUCAUUAUAUACAGGAUGACCAAAUUAGCCUAUUUCUUUCCAGUUCAUACUUCUUAUUCACUCAAGGCCUAUGCCAAACUCUAUCUCAGAGAGUUGGUUAGGUUGUACGGUGUUCGGAUAUCUAUCAUUUUAGAAAGAGCUACUCAGUUUACCUCUCACUUUUGGAAGUCCUUUCAGAAGGGUCUUGGUACCCAAGUUCACCUCAGUAUAGCCUUUCACCCUCAGACAAAUGGUCAGGCAGAAAGGACCAUUCAGACCCUUGAGGAUAUGUUGAGAGCACGUGUAGUUGACUGUAAAGAAAGUUGGGAUGACCACUUACCUUUGAUUGAAUUCACGUAUAAUAACAACUAUCAUUCUAGUAUCCAGAUGGCUCUAUUUGAAGUUCUAUAUGAGAGGAGAUGUAGAUCUUUGAUUGGUUGGUUUGAAGUAGGUGAGGCCACGGUAGUAGGGCUUGAAUUGGUGUUUGAUGCUUUAUAUAGUUGAUUAGGGAGAGGCUUAAGGCAACCCAGAGCCGAAAAAAAUCAUAUACAGAUGUGAGAAGGAAAGAUCUUGAGUUUGAGAUUGAUGAUUUUAUAUAUUUGAGAUUGAUGAUUUUGUAUAUCUAAAGAUCUCUCCUAUGAAGGGGGUAAAGAGGUUUGUAAGAAGGGGAAGCUUAGUCCCUGAUAUGUUGGCUCUUAUCGAAUUUUAAGCCGUUUAAAAAAGGUGGCCUAUGAGAUCGAGUUGCUUGCAGACUUAGCAUCAGUGCACCCAGUAUUCCAUAUCUCUUUGUUAAAGAAGUUCAUUGGAUACCCAACAGUUGUCGUUCCAUUAGAAAGCGUAGAUAUUCAGAACAACCUUUCUUUCUAAGAAAUUCUAGGCGAGAUCCUUGAUCGACAAACUCGUAGAAUAAUGAACAAAGAAGUUCCCCUAGUCAAAGUUCUUUGGCGGAAUUAGUCUAUUGAGGGAGCCACUUGGGAAGAAGAAGUAGAUAUACGGACCAAGUACACUCAUCUUUUCUUUGCGAACUCAGACUCAGCUCAAGGUAACAAUCAUCUUAGACUUUCAUUUUUUCAUGCUCAGUUUCAGCUGUAUAUAAUUCUCAUAUCCGUAUGCAUUCACAGAACCAGUUCAGUUAUGAAUUAUGUUUCAGACUCAGUUAUGUAAUCACGUUUUAAUCACAUAUAUUCAGUAUGUAACUUUAGUUCCUCAAUGCUUUUAGCUUAACCAGUCUCAUUCGAGGAAGAAUGUUCCCAAGGGGGAGAUAUUGUAAUUCUCCAAAAAUCCAAACCGAUGUUAGCGCCAUAUUUCAAACUCAUGCAUAGUACAUCAUACUUCUUUGAUAGUUUUAUGAGUUAGUUUGAUGUAUGUUAAGGCCUCAAAUAAAUCCCAGCUACUAGGCAAAACAUCUCUUACGAAUUGAGUUUUCGGGAAGUAUGUUGCAAUAGUCAACUUCAAACUAACAUAUCUUUUGCUCUACUUAGAAUUUUCCAGCUCAAGACCCACCAAGUUGCAGGAAAUUGAAUUAUCUUUCCAACUAUACCAAUUUUGCCUAAAUUUGAUACUCGGGUGAGAUGUUAUGACACUUUUAGUGUGAAACAGUAGCCCAAUACGAUAAGGCCGCGCCGUGGUGAUGGCCAAAAUCACGUUCGUCCUUUUGCAGUGUGUCAUCGUGGUAAGCACCGCAUCAUGCCAAGGAGCAUUUUUGCGUUCGUCACUUUCCAGUGAGGCAUUACGAUUGGCACUAUAUCGCGCCAAGUUGGCAAAUUGGGAUUGUCCGUUUCUAGAGGGACAACACGAUAUCAUCGCGUUCCGUUAUUGGAUAAAAUGGGGAUUGUCCUUUUCUAGUGGGAUGAGAUAAUUGUACUGCAUCGCGUCAGAGCUAAAAAUUGGGAUUUCCAGUUCAGUUCUGGGUUUUUAAUUUCCAAGGGCAUUUAAUUCCCUUCACCCCACUCAGACCAAACACGAGAUUUAAAUCCCAAGAGAGCAUUAUUUGGUCAAUCCUCUAAAAUUAAAGUAGCCCUCUUUCAAGAACAAAGCCCUAGCCUUCAAGAUUCAAGAUCAAAUCUCAAGAAAAACCCCAAGAACUCUCACGAAUUCAUCAACCCAGGUAUGUUAAGUGUUUAUCUCUGGGUUCUUUUCACCCAUGGAGUCAAAAUAUCCAAUUCUAAAUUCAAAUUUGGGAUCUUUACAAGCUUUUAUGAUUUUAAUUGUGAUUUUAACUAUGAAUUCCCAUGAAUUGUAAUUCUACACCAUGUUUACAUGCAAUUGUUAUUGAUAUUAAUCCCCACACGUUUGAACAAUACUAUUCGCUGAUUUAAAUUAUUCUUAGUGAUGUUGAUGUUGAAAUCAUGCUAUUUCCACAAGCUUUACACUAUUCCCAUGCUUAGCUUGAACUAUGAAUAUCAAGUGUUUGAUGAAAUGCCUAUAAGAAUGAAUUUUUGAUAAAUGCUUUCAUAUUAUGUCCUCCAAGUUUUGUACUAUUUUACUAUUAUUGCUACCGAGUCCUAGGGUUAUGAAUACCCAAAAGCUUAGCUGUUUACUUAGUCUCAGUAUCUUCAGAAUAGUUUUAGAAUAUGUUAUGAGCAUUAUCAGUUUAGUCAAUCAUCAUAAUUAGUUAAACUUAGAACAAAUCAGUAUUCUGAGUCAGUUCAGUUGGGAGUAAGAUUUAGCACCGAGCGAGUGCAGGGAUGGCGGCUUCCCCGUCAGAUAGGAAGAGUUGUUAGUAGCAGUUCCUGUACUCCAAAAUACAUAGCCAAUGUAGGAUAUGUGGAGUUGCCCGAUAGUUUAGGCUUGACUACCUCGUAGGGGUCACCCGUCAGUUUAGGCUUGACAUCCUUAGUCCUUCGGGACAACAUAUUAGUGGAUCCAUACAACAAGUGUUAGUACCCACGGCAUGGUACUGACACCCUUCCAACUAGGGUCAUAGUUUGGACCUUAAAUUUGCUCAUUGGGGCAUGUCGGUUAGAUGAUAGCUCCUACAGUCUCAGUCCAAUAAUCAGUUUAGUAAUUCAAUUUUAGUUUGCUUGACCAUAACAUAUAAAUAUUAAAUAUUCAGUUAUCAGAUUUUAGUAUUUCAGUUUACAAAUUAUAUUUAGAAUAUGUUUUAUACUUGGUCAUGCAUCCAUCAGUAUCGACAGAUUUAACGCAUUCUCAGUAUUUAUAGAUUUCAUGCAUUCUAUUUAGUAAUUCAUGCUAUUUAUUCAAUUAGCUAUUACUCAUGCACAUAAAAUCAUACAUAUCAGCCUACCUCAUUUAGCAUACCAGUACAUUCAAAGUACUGAUCGCAUACUCUUUUCUUGCGCUAUGAUGUAUUAUAUCAUUGGUUCGGAUGCUCAGUUCCUGAAUCGCGCAUAGACCUUCCAGAUUAUCAGUCGUAGCAGUGGCGAGUCCUCAUAUUUCAAGGACAGACUAUAUUUAUUUUUAUGCUUUCAGUUCAGUAGUUAGAUGGAGUUAGUUGGGGCCUGUCCCAUCAACUCUUAUUCAGUUAGUUUAGAGGCUUUUGGACACUUCAGACAGUCAGUCAGUUUAUCUUUAUUUUAUUAGUUUCACAUAGUUAUUUUCAGAUAGUUGUUUUCCAUAUUUAUGAUACAAAAAUCUUUUAGUAUUUAAAACCUUAUGGAGUCUACAAAUACUCCGCCUAUGUUAUUUUGUUAUUACUCAGUGCUCACAACAGGUACCAACUCAUGGGUUAUCUUGUGGUCCCUCGAGACUGUAAGCAUCGUGUGGAGUCCAGGGUGUACUCUCGGGGCAUUACAAAAAUAAGGGUGGACUAAAAUAAAAAUUGGCUAGUAAGUGAGACCCUAAGGUAGUGUAGUACCAAAGAGGCUUAGUCACUUGAUAUAUUCAUAUGUACCAUACUAGCCCUAAACCUACAUUACAAGCCGGGAAAGUUCUAUAGUAAUCCUAACUUGAUUGUUUGAAUGCUAAGUUAAAGAAAAUAAGAGCAAGCCUAUGGUAUUUGAUGCACAUUGAUUGGAACUUGUCUUCUGAGUGUGAGUGUUUCUUGAAUAUCCCUGCAUUGACAUGUAUUAUUUUAUAUGAGUGAGUGGAACAUCAUUGUUGUGAGGGCACUUGAGUCAUAUUGCUAGCUAUUUGCUUGUUUUGGGUAGUGUAACUUGUACAUAGGCGUGGUUGUCUAUUGCUCAUGUAGUGUCGUACCUUGAUCCCAUUGUGUCACAUUGUUGUGCUUCAAUGUUCAUACCCAAUUGAUUUUGAAAAGUGAGAUUGAAGGGGGUGUUAUGAUUUGAGCUUAAAGUGUUGAUUGACUACCUUGAAUAACUUAGAUUCUCCUAGUCAAGUGUCAUGUUUAGUUUUGUUUUUCUUUGUUGUGUUUUGUUACCUGAGGACAUACAAACAUUAUAAGUUGAAGGUGUUGAUGUGCUAUAGAAAUAUAGCACUUUCGAUGCUUAAAACAAGAAAAAUAUGCAAGUUUUUGAGGUUAUUUUGUUAGAUAUGAUAUAUUUUGGGUAUGUUUUACAGAAAGUCAUGUUUUGGAUGCUAAGUUCAUAAAAAAGAUGAAAAAGAUGUUUUUGGCUACUUAUUGGAGCAAUUAUGAAUAUUCAGGACACUUUUUGGCUUGUUCGUGAUCAAAGCAUGUUCGAGAAUUGAAGGAGAGAUGAAAAAAUAACUCCCGACACUUAUUAAGUCAACAUGUGGACCGCAAGUAGGACAUGUGGACCACAAGUGGGCAAAGGAAGUGCCAAAAGUCCAAAAUCUCGAGAGUUGACCUGCAGGAUUUUUGGGUCCUAGCACUUGCACCCACUACUUGCGCACACCCUGCAGGUCGCAAUUGCUACAUGCGCCGAGGGUUGGCCACAAGUGGCAACCAUAAGUGGUCACCGACCCUAUCUUCUUCUAUUUUAUUCAGGCUUUGAUUUUAGGGUUUUUUCAUGUACUAUAAAUACCCUUUAAGUGUUUUUAGUUUAAGUUACACACUUUUGAUAUUCACAAAUAUAGUUUGAUUCCAAGAUUCAAUUUCGAUCUUGGGAUUCUCUUGUAUUGACUUUAGUUGACUAAUUCAGUUACGGUUUUGGUUUUUUAUAUUCUUAUCAUUGUGAUUUCAUCUAUGCUUUCAAUUAUGAAUGUGAUUGAUUUCUUCAUAUGUAUGAGUAGCUAAAAACCCAUAGGGUUGUGGAAACCUUGACAGAUUGACAAAGUAGGGGAAGUGCUAUUCUUGAUCUGAACCGAUACCCAUACAUGCAGCAAAGACUUUGCAACCUAAAUACUUUGGCGAAGUGCUUGUUGCCACUGCAACAUGGAACUCUGAAGGCACUUUACAUGAAUAUGAAAUGAAGUUGGCAUGACUUUGCCAGUCUUAGAACACAUGAAAUGAGGAGUAGUGACUAGAAAAGAUAAUGACAAUAGUAAUUUGAGGUUUAACUGUCGACCUAAGCUACUAGGUAAUAUCUAAGUAAGAUGGUUAGCUUUCAUCUAAUAACUAGAGACUUAACAGGUAAUAGUUAAUUGAGAUCAAGAUAAGGGUUAGUAAGGCAAUAUCUUAAGACUCAAAAGGUAAAGAGUGAAAUCCUUCUGUUUGUCCAAAAUACUGUAGAAGGUGCAUAACUUAUCGAUUCUGCAUACAAGGUAUUGAGUUGGUUCAACUGAGCAUGAUAAGACUAUGUAGUUGAGAAGUCAAGAGGAACACAAUCCUAGUGUUCACCUACGACUAAUUACAACCGAAGUUGAUAUUUGCUAUUAGUUUGAGAUUACUACACAAAUCUCCCCAUUUACUUUUCCAGUUUUACCCAUUGACUACAAUUGCUGAGAUCCACGAUUCCAUAUAUUUCCUUGAUAUCCAACCCCAAAUUUUAUUGGAUUACUAUAUUUGAUAAAGACCAUAUCAUCUUUUGAGAGGAGGUCUAGCUUGGACGUCAUCACUAACUAUGCUUCUAACCUAAAAGCGAUAUUUUAGAUCUAAUGAAACUGUCCAAAUUGCCAUCCAGUAUUCGAAACUCAAUAUAUUGAUCAAAGUUAAACUAAUGACUUAUGAAUCCUUUAAUAGUCUCAAAUUCCCUCAAUCACCCACGAAUGCAUCAGGGACUGUGCCAGCCAACCCCAGAAUUCACAACUAGCAUGUAGAAAAUAUGGAGAAGUACAAAAUGGUUAAAACACAUAAAAAUCAUGACUAUGAUUGUUACAAGAGGCCUCAAGUUCAAAUCUUAGAUAUGGAGAAAGCUUAGUAGUUCUAAAAUAAUUCUAUCUUUAAUAGGAAUUAUGCAACAUAAAUCUAAGUAGGAUGACUCUUAAGUAGUAAGAAAUAUAUAGCAAUUCACUUGAUUACUUGUUGACCAAUGAAAAAUACAGAAAAAAUACACAAAAUAAAAAGAGGGCGAUCGACACGAGGUCUCUAGUUCAAAUCUUGAGAGUGAAGAAACUCUUUUUAAUUAGAAAGUUCUUUCUUCUUAUAUUCUAUGAUUCUAAAUUAGUCGGACUAGUGAAUAUUGAAAAGUUUAAAAUUAUUCAAACUUUGAAGAUUCAUUUCAUUGAUGUCAUUAGCUUCUACAAAUUACAUUAAAUUUAUUUUAAAGAUUAGAUACUUUUUCAAAUUUAGUAUUUUUAUCAACUAAAUUUAGGUAAAAUUACAGUUUGCGCCCAUUUCAUUUUCAACUUUACAUUCUUCAAAGGAAGUCAGGUUCUUAGAUUUUUCUUCUUGCUUGACCCACACCUUGGCCAAAUAAUUAUGUGGAAAAUCACCAUCCUUGGCAGAGAUGACCAAACAAUAAUAAUAUAUUCCCUUAUUGACUUUGCUUUCUCCUUUUAUUACUUCUUUAAAUUCUAAUUUUGUCUUUGCCUCCUUAUUGUGUUCAUCCACUGCAAACUUUCCUAUCUCUAUCACUUCUUCAGUUAUGUUGGUUAUAGGUUUCCAGUCCGAGCUUUCUUCCCAAUCUCCGUGUGUUUCAGAGAUAUGGAGGAGAAUUAUGGCAACCACUACUAAAAGAAUUCCAAGGAUGGGAUUGAAUUUGAUAGCCAUUUUUUCUUUGUAAGAAGAGAAUGAAUGAAAAACAUAAGUUAUUUUGUGAUGAUGAAAAUAGUUCAUUGGGUGGUCUUAUUUAUAGUGGAGAACUAUUAUGAUUUUCUUUUAAAAAUAUAAGUUACAAUCAAUGUGGGAUAAAGGCACAUUGAUUUGUGAAUUAUCUGUUAAUUUGCUUAUUUAUGAUGAAUAUUUAAUAAUUAAUAUUGUCUUGGUUAUUAGAAUUUUUUAGAUUUGUCACUGAUUUGACUAAAUAAUGCUAUAAUUUAUACAUAUCAUCAUAAUCAGAUACUCUCUCUGAACCAUCUUAUUUGUCAUUUUUAGUAAAAGUACUUUGUCCAAGAUAGUCGUUGUUCUAUAAAAUCAAGAUAUAACUUAACAUAUUUUACCUAUUUUUUUCUUUGUAAUCAUUAUUAUUGAAAGGAAUAAACAAUACUAGUUAAUUAUCAUAGAAAAUCUAAUUGAAGAGCAUAACAUAUUCUAAUAUUGUGAUUAGUUGGAGUAACUCACUUUUUAUUUAUUGAAAAGAUAUUAAAGAGAGACUAUUUAUUGAAGAGAGAUUAAUAUUUUAUAUGAUAAAUAAUAGUAAAUAAUAGUAUGAUAGCGUAAACACAAAAUUUCUUAAGGGACCUGUGACCAAAAAAUGUGUCAAGUAAUCUUGUGAACACAUAGCCCACAGGUUGGCCAAGUUGUUGGAUUGGGGUUAAAACAGGAAGAGAUCUAAGAAUUAGACAGUCCAAAAAUACAUUUGCUUUAUAACCCAUUUGAAUAGAGACAGAAAGGUUGCCGGUGUGAUUUUGGGGAUUCAUGCCGAUUUUGAAGAAAAUAUAUGUUCAUCUCAUCUUCUUUUUCAGAGUCUAAGCUCUUCAUCAGCAUUCUUAACUCUAUUUUUAGUUACUUGUUGUUACAGUAUUUUCCAUUGUAAUUCAAUAGUUUAAAUAUGUUUUAUCCUUUUUCGAAUUUCAUUAAAAAAGAAAACGAUUUUGACCUUUUCAAAACUAUUUAAAAAAAACUUCAAGAAAAUUUUGAAAUAAUGUUAAAAAAAUUACAGAGUUGUCAAUUGAUUUUUAUAGAAAAUAUCAAGAAAACUUAAAGAAAUUUUGAAAAAAACAUAAAUAAUUUUUUUAAAUAAGAGAAACUAAGUAAGGGUGGUUUAUUUAAUAGACUAAGAAGGUUUUGAAGACACUUAGGAAUGUCCGUUUGAAAAAAAGUUCACCAAAUAAUUUUUUACUAACUUAAAAAUGGUUAAUUUUGUAAACACUUCAUUUUAUAGAAAAUUUUAAAAUUAUUUAUCUGCAUAUUUAAAAUGAUAUUUAUUUAUUCAUAGGAGAAAUGUUCUACUUGAAUUAGAGAAAGACUCGUUUAAACUAAAUUGUAAAUUUUUGAUUCAAGAAGAAAAUAAAGAAGAUUAUAUAAUUAUUUUCUUAUUAUUUUAUGAUUAGUAUCAUUUUUAUUAUUAUAGGAAAGUAAAUUUUGUUAUAACUAAUACCUUUGGAAAAUGAUGUUAAGAGAACAUUAAAUUAAAAAUCUUUUUAUUUAUUAUGGAAAUUUGAAUUUUUUUAAAAAAAAGAUAAAUUAGUUUCUUAGGUUUGAAGAAAAUUACUUUAAUUCAAAUAAAAUAUUAGUCUUGUGAACACAACAAGUGUCAUCUUGGAAUCAAAGGGGAAAAACCGAAGGAAUCAAUUUAACCCAUUUUAACAAUAUUAAUUAGGUGAGAAAAAUUAUAGAUCAAGUAAGGAGGUCAAGAUAAAAUAGAAUUGCAACAACAUAGGAAACUACUAGAUUAAUUAAUUAAAUAUUAGAAUCAAUACAAAUAAUUUAAAAUGCAUUACAAUAAAGGAAAAGGUGAGAAUUGGGCCACUUUCUAUUAGACCAUAAGCCGCUGUCCAGACUUUGGGCUUGGUUUUUCAUGGACUUGAUUCAUUUCCGUUCUCGUAUAUCAUAUGUAUAUCAACAUCUCUUUUUUUCUGUGUUUUUCUGUAUACCACUGUGUAAUCAGCAUGUUUGCUUCCACUUUUCAUAUAUACAAUAUAAUGGUGUGUAGCGGCUACUUCCCAAUGUAUAUCAGUUGUAUAUAAGUGCAUACCAUCAUGUAUACUAGUGUUGUCUCAUGUAUAUCAGUUCAAUUUUAGAUUUUUAACUAAACUUGACUCGAUGGAGGUUGGUUUUGACCCAGUGGAAUGUGAGAGAUGAGAGCACGAUGGGUUCGGUGAGGAAAUUCAUGCAUAAAAGGGAUAGGAAAGGAUUAGAUAAAAAUCUUUAUCAACUUAAUCACGUACACAUUAAAUAACCACUUUCCAAGUGAAAUACCAUAGCUCAAUUUAAAUAGUAUAAUAACACUUAUAAUGAAGUCUAGGAAUGGAAGAAAAAUUUGCAUCAUCUAUCAAAUAGGACACCAAAGGAAUACCAUAAAAAGCUAGUAAAACAAUGUCCCGAUAUCAAUAUCAGCAUGAUUAAAGUUGUACGAGUAGCACACCACGGAAAACUAUAACCGCUUAAGGAAGUUUAGAGAAAAGAUUACAAUGAAGAAACCUACAAGAGCAUAACAACAUUUGAAACUACUCCAAUAUUGAAAAUGGAACUCUUCACAAUUUUCUUUUUAAAAAUAAUAGAUAAUAAUAAUAAUAAUUAAGGAAAAAUUUAAGACUAAGGAAUUAUAGAAUCUUCUUAUUGAUAAGAAAUUCAAUUUCAUAGCAUAAGACAAACCAACAAUUCAUUUUAAACUUUUGGUAAAGCUAUAGGAACGACAUAAAGCAAACCCAACAAAUUGCUUAAUCCAUGUUCGACCACUUUUAUAUAAAUAAAUAAAUUAGAUUUACUCUAUAGAAAAAAUUGAAUUAAAACAUCAUGGAACUAACUAAAUUUCACAUUGCCUAACACCCAAUAUGAACAAGAAAAAUAAGGAGAAGAUUUACCUUUUUCGGAUAGGAACUGAGACAAACUAGCUUUAAAUGAACGAAAUUUCAAUCCCGAAUCAUCGGAGUUUUAUUUUUAUUUUUUUUUGUUUUUGAAAUUAAUUUUUCAUUUGCAUUUCUCCUAAGAAUCCUCUCUCCGCCUCUCUCCAAAAAUUUACCCUUAACCUCAUGUAUUUAUAGCGAAAAAUAUUGGUUCGAAAAUAAUCAUUGGAGCCGGGUUCAGAGAUUGAUGGGAGAGAAUAAAAAGUAAUCGGUAAACUGAAAACAUAUCCCCAAAAUUCAAAUUUGAAUUGAUGGCUUCUGAUUUGAAUUACUUUUUAGGGUGAGAAUCACAUAAUCUUGAAUCAAAAGUCAAUAAUGAUGGC